rnacentral:lncRNA from 1 species
GCCGCCACGCCCGCUCCUCCUGAGGCUCCCGCGCCGCCGCUCGGAGCCACGGACUGGAAACCCGCCCGGGCCGCCAUCUUCCCGGAGCCGCCGCUGCAGCUGCACAAAGAACCGGAACCGGAACUCCCCCCGCCCCCCGCGCGCCCCCCGAGCGCCUGGGCUGUUUGUGGGCCCGGCCCGCCGGCGGGCACGGGCGGCUCGGGGCAGCGAGACUACGGGCUAGAGGGGGCGACUAGCGGGAAAGGCGUGCUGACCACUCCCUCCCGCCUUCACGGGCCAGGAGGGAGCACCAUAGAGAGGCGGUGUGCUGAUAAAGAAGUGCCGGGAGCGAGCGCCCCCGGGCGGUUGGAGGACGUCAAGGCCUUGCAAAGAGCCCAGCCCACCCCGCAGGCGGCUGGAGUGAUGCUUCACCUCGGCCCAGUGCGUUUACCUCUCCAAAGCAUUCUGGUUGGUUUGCUUUUUGUUUUCCUACGGAUCAGACUCCGGAUGCUAAAGAGGGAAACAGGCUGUUUGUUCGUUUUACAAACGGAAAAGCUGAACUCAAAGGAGGUGAA